rnacentral:rRNA from 1 species
AACGAACGCUGGCGGCAGGCUUAACACAUGCAAGUCGAGCGCCCCGCAAGGGGAGCGGCAGACGGGUGAGUAACGCGUGGGAAUCUACCCAUCUCUACGGAAUAACUCAGGGAAACUUGUGCUAAUACCGUAUACGCCCUUCGGGGGAAAGAUUUAUCGGAGAUGGAUGAGCCCGCGUUGGAUUAGCUAGUUGGUGGGGUAAUGGCCUACCAAGGCGACGAUCCAUAGCUGGUCUGAGAGGAUGAUCAGCCACACUGGGACUGAGACACGGCCCAGACUCCUACGGGAGGCAGCAGUGGGGAAUAUUGGACAAUGGGCGCAAGCCUGAUCCAGCCAUGCCGCGUGAGUGAUGAAGGCCCUAGGGUUGUAAAGCUCUUUCACCGGUGAAGAUAAUGACGGUAACCGGAGAAGAAGCCCCGGCUAACUUCGUGCCAGCAGCCGCGGUAAUACGAAGGGGGCUAAGCGUUGUUCGGAAUUACUGGGCGUAAAGCGCACGUAGGCGGAUAUUUAAGUUAGGGGUGAAAUCCCAGGGCUCAACCCUGGAACUGCCUCUAAUACUGGGUAUCUCGAGUCCGAGAGAGGUGAGUGGAAUUCCGAGUGUAGAGGUGAAAUUCGUAGAUAUUCGGAGGAACACCAGUGGCNNAAGGCGGGCUCACUUGGCCCCGAUACUGACGCUGAGGCACGAAAGCGUGGGGAGCAAACAGGAUUAGAUACCCCUGGUAGUCCANAGCNUNNAGCNCAGGUNNUGCAUGNCUGUNGUCAGNUNGUGUNGUAGAUGUUGGGUUAAGUCCCGCANCGAGCGCAACCCCCGUCCUUAGUUGNUACCAUUUAGUUGAGCACUCUAAGGAGACUGCCGGUGAUAAGCCGCGAGGAAGGUGGGGAUGACGUCAAGUCCUCAUGGCCCUUACGGGCUGGGCUACACACGUGCUACAAUGGCGGUGACAAUGGGAUGCAAAAGGGCAACCUCUAGCAAAUCUCAAAAAGCCGUCUCAGUUCGGAUUGGGCUCUGCAACUCGAGCCCAUGAAGUUGGAAUCGCUAGUAAUCGUGGAUCAGCAUGCCACGGUGAAUACGUUCCCGGGCCUUGUACACACCGCCCGUCACACCAUGGGAGUUGGUUUUACCUGAAGGCGGUGCGCUAACCCGCAAGGGAGGCAGCCGACCACGGUAGGGUCAGCGACUGGGGUGAAGUCGUAACAAGGUAACC